rnacentral:rRNA from 1 species
UACGUAGGGUGCGAGCGUUGUCCGGAAUUAUUGGGCGUAAAGAGUUCGUAGGCGGUUUGUUGCGUCUAUCGUGAAAACCUGCAGCUUAACUGUGGGCUUGCGGUGGAUACGGGCAGACUUGAGUUCGGUAGGGGAGACUGGAAUUCCUGGUGUAGCGGUGAAAUGCGCAGAUAUCAGGAGGAACACCGGUGGCGAAGGCGGCGCUCUGGACCGAGACUGACGCUGAGGCGCGAAAGCGUGGGGAGCAAACAGG